rnacentral:rRNA from 1 species
CCGGCGACCGGCGCACGGGUGAGUAACGCGUAUGCAACCUGCCCGUUUCAGCGGGAUAACCCGGAGAAAUCCGGCCUAAUACCGCAUGUAGCCGAGGGGAGGCAUCUUCUUUCGGCCAAAGGAGGCGACUCCGGAGACGGAUGGGCAUGCGUGACAUUAGCUAGUUGGCGGGGUAACGGCCCACCAAGGCGACGAUGUCUAGGGGUUCUGAGAGGAAGGUCCCCCACACUGGUACUGAGACACGGACCAGACUCCUACGGAAGGCAGCAG